GCUGGGCCAAAAGUGCUCCGUUCACCUAUUCUCUCGGUCUUGUCUCCUGUACAUAACGUGAGAGCUAACUCACUUUCCGUCAGCUGUGCGUCGAGGCGAAAGACAAGAUGACAGUUAACCAAAAGAAUAUCAACCAUAAUCAUUAAAAAAAAACAGUGAUUGAUUGACCAGAUAAUUCUCUCUUUCGGUGAUAAACCAGCUGACACUCCCAAUUGGCAGACACUCCAAGCUUAACACUCUCGGCCGGCACUCUCUCUCUCUCUCCCUCUCUCCCUCUCUCUCCAAGGACGUCAGACACCCCAGCUGACGCCGCUCCUGCUUCUGAGGGAAUUACGUGCCCACAAACCAAGUUCUUCAACCUUCAUUGUAAUGGAUCAGGUGGAAAAUACACUUGUUACAACGUCACACAUCGCGGAUUCGACUCUGUAGUUCCAGACCAGGAUUGUUCUUGAAAGUAUCUGGAUGGGU